rnacentral:ncRNA from 1 species
AUAAAGUUUUAUUCUAGCUUAUAUUACUUUUUAUAAGAUUAUUUUACAUGUAAAUUUUAGUAAGAUUAAAGUAAAAUCUAAAAGAUUUAUUAUUAGAUUAAUUAAGCGCAGUAUUUUACAUUAAUAUUAUCAAUUUAGGUUGGAUUUAGUGAAUUUUAUAAUUCUGGUAAAAUUUGUGCCAGCCACCGCGGUUAAACAAAAGGGGUAAAAGAGUAUUAUUAGUUAUAGUUAAUUUUUAUAAAAAGGUUAAAUAAAUAUUGUUAUUGUUAGGUGAAAUUUUAAAACAUAUAAUAAACUAAAAUAAAUAUUAAAUGAAGCUGUAAAAAUUAGUAAAUAAACUAGGAUUAGAUACCCUAUUAUUCUAAUUGUUAAUUUUAGGCUUGAGUAGUAAUAGUUAUGUUCUUAAAACUCAAAGAAUUUGGCGGUGUUUUAGUCUUAUCAGAGGAAUUUGUCCCAUAAUCGAUAGUCCACGUUUUACUUUACUUAAUUUGGUUUACAGCCUGUAUACCGCCGUCAGCAGGAUAUAUUUAGAAAUUAUAUUCAAGAAUUAUAAGUAAAAGUAUGUCAGGUCAAGGUGCAGUUUAUAGUUAAGAGGAGAUGAAUUACAAUAUAAGUAUAUAUAAUGGAUUUUUAAUUGGAAGUUUAAAAUAAAGGUGGAUUUGGGUGUAAUAAAAUUAAGAUAUAUUUUAUGAUAUAAAGCUCUAAAACAUGCACACAUCGCCCGUCGCUCUCAUUUUAAGGUGAGAUAAGUCGUAACAUAGUAGAUGUACCGGAAGGUGUCUCUAGAAAGUU